rnacentral:rRNA from 1 species
UACGGAAGGCAGCAGUGGGGAAUAUUGCACAAUGGGCGCAAGCCUGAUGCAGCCAUGCCGCGUGUAUGAAGAAGGCCUUCGGGUUGUAAAGUACUUUCAGUCGUGAGGAAGGUGUUAAGGUUAAUAACCUUAGCAAUUGACGUUAGCGACAGAAGAAGCACCGGCUAACUCCGUGCCAGCAGCCGCGGUAAUACGGAGGGUGCGAGCGUUAAUCGGAAUUACUGGGCGUAAAGGGCACGCAGGCGGUUAAUUAAGUUGGAUGUGAAAUCCCCGGGCUUAACCUGAGAAUGGCAUUCAAGACUGGUUAGCUAGAGUCUUGUAGAGGGGGUAGAAUUCCAUGUGUAGCGGUGAAAUGCGUAGAGAUGUGGAGGAAUACCGGUGGCGAAGGCGGCCCCUGGGACAAGACUGACGCUCAUGUGCGAAAGCGUGGGGAGCAAACAGGAUUAGAUACC